rnacentral:tRNA from 1 species
UCCCUGGUGGCUCAGAGGUUAAAGCGUCUGCCUGCAAUGAAGGAGACCUGGGUUCGAUCCCUGGGUUGGGAA